rnacentral:misc_RNA from 1 species
UGAUAAUUCUAAGUUUUCAUCUCCUCUUGGCCCGCCGGCUUGCGAGAAAGAUGCCAAAGCCCUUCGUUUCAUUGAAGAAACCACUACAAAUGCUGACUCGGUUCAGCAAAGAGUUUUGGCUGAGAUUCUGACCCAAAACGCCCACACUGAGUAUGUGAACCGGUUCCGGCUCAAUGGAGCCACGGACCGGGAUACAUUUAAAUCCAAAGUUCCUGUCGUUACUUAUGAAGAUCUCCAACCUGAUAUUCAACGUAUUGCUAAUGGCGAUCGCUCUCCUAUUUUUUCAUCCCAUCCCAUUUCUGAGUUCCUCACCAGUUCUGGGACAUCGGCUGGAGAGAGAAAAUUGAUGCCGACAAUUAAAGAAGAAAUGGAACGGCGUCAGCUGCUUUAUAGCCUUCUCAUGCCCAUCAUGAAUCUGUAUGUGCCAGGGUUGGACAAAG